GACGGGGGGUCCUAGCGUUGUUCGGAAUCAUUGGGCGUAAAGCGUGUGCAGGCGGUUUUGUAAGUCAGAUGUGAAAGCCCCGGGCUUAACCCGGGAAGUGCAUUUGAAACUACAAAACUUGAAUAUGGAAGAGGGUCGUGGAAUUCCAGGUGUAGUGGUGAAAUACGUAGAUAUCUGGAGGAACACCGGUGGCGAAGGCGGCGACCUGGUCCGUGACUGACGCUGAGGCGCGAAAGCGUGGGGAGCAAACAGG
rnacentral:rRNA from 1 species